UCCUUUUCUUCUCUCUCUUUUUCGUUUUCUCUUCUUUCACCACCGUUCACUCCAACCCUCUUCAAAACAAAACAAAAACAACCUCCCACACCCAAAGAAAAGAAAAAAAAAAGAAAAAAAACCUCUUCAUCUCUUUCUCUCUU
rnacentral:ribozyme from 14 species